GAUGAACGCUGGCGGCGUGCCUAAUACAUGCAAGUCGAGCGAACAGACGAGAGUGCUUGCACUCUCUGACGUUAGCGGCGGACGGGUGAGUAACACGUGGGUAACCUACCUAUAAGACUGGGAUAACUUCGGGAAACCGGAGCUAAUACCGGAUAAUAUUUAGCUUCGCAUGAAGCAAUAGUGAAAGACGGUUCUGCUGUCACUUAUAGAUGGACCCGCGGUGUAUUAGCUAGUUGGUGAGGUAACGGCUCACCAAGGCAACGAUACAUAGCCCACCUGAGGGGGUGAUCGGCCACACUGGGAUUGAGACACGGCCCAGACUCCUACGGGAGGCAGCAGUAGGGAAUCUUCCGCAAAGGACGAAAGUCUGACGGAGCAAUGCCGCGUGAGUGAAGAAGGUUUUCGGAUCGUAAAACUCUGUUGUAAGGGAAGAACAAGUACGUUAGUAACUGAACGUACCUUGACGGUACCUGACCAGAAAGCCACGGCUAACUACGUG
rnacentral:rRNA from 1 species